UAAUUGCAACAAUAGUCUCAAAUUUUUUAAAAAUUACAAAUUGGUUACAAAUAUAUACUUAAAUAUCAAAAAAAAAAAAAAAAAAACAACCACCACCACCCUUUGGGAAUGGAGCCACCAGCAUCCGACGGUCCAUAAUCAAACCACCACCCACCACUGCAUAAAUCAUAGGAAACUGCUCCCUUUACCAGCAAGUUUAAGCCACAAACACUUCCCCAUCAAUGAAUUACACAAAUAGAUCCUAUAACCAUCCAAAACUUAGAAGAAACUCUUAACUAGUUAGAGAAACCAAUUUGCUUCUUCCAUCAAUUCCGGCGUUGGUAAUUGGUUCCAUUGUUGCGGACCACCCAUUCCGGCAUCCUCUACUAAAGGUCCAACUAUUACAACAAUGGGUCCUCAUCAAUUUCAACAUAAUAUACCGAUUUCACCAUCUCCAAAUUUAGUAUUCGCAUUUUUCGGCAAACGGGUUAUUCUGUGUCGAUUUUCACCAUGCUCUAACUUGUAUGUUUGGAUUACACGGGAUGUCUAAAAGAUGGUGAAAUUUGGUUUAAGAGACUAGUAUUUGCAAGGUGAAUUACAGGCAAGUGUAGCCCUCUAAGCUGAAUCACAGAGGCUGCUGGGGAAAGAAAAUUGGAAUUCCUUUUGGGGAUUAUUCUUUUUUUACAAGUCGGUGGCUAGGGCAGAAAAUUGGAGAGACAUUGCGUGGCUGUUUUUGGGGACCGAAUUGAGGAUAUUACACGCACAAAAACAAAAAAAACAUGGAGAGAAAAUGGCUAUUAUGGGAGACUUGGGGCGCUGUUGAAAAGACGGGGAAAAUGAAGGAAUCACGUAAUUGACAACAAGAUAGAAACAUAAGUUUUACAUUUUUGACAUAAAAAGAAGCUAAAUUACAGAAGUUUCAUCUAGGCUUUCAUCUUUUCCGGCAAUCUUUGCAGCCAAGCUAUCCGGUGAUAUCCCAAGAAUUAACUGCCGGAGUUAUUUUGUGAGGGGGAGCGUGGUAGUGGGGUGGGGGUGAGGUGUGGGAAGAAGGUGAAUAUUUUUUGGGGUUAUUUGUACUUUUAAAAGUUUGAGCCUAUAGUUCCAAUUUAUUUUUUUAUUUUUCUUUUCUUUUCUCUUUUGUUUUAUUUAAAUACGAGGGCUUAUCGAUCAUUUUACGUUGAAAAUUGGUAAAACGAACGUCCAGCGCAAAGAAAUGUGGAAAUAGCGGCAAAAUUGUCAAAAAAAAAAUGAAAGAUAAUGACGUUUUCUACAAUAACCUUAAAAGAUAGGGACGUUUU
rnacentral:lncRNA from 1 species